CAGCCGCCGCGGUAAUACGGAGGGUGCAAGCGUUAAUCGGAAUUACUGGGCGUAAAGCGCACGCAGGCGGUUUGUUAAGUCAGAUGUGAAAUCCCCGGGCUCAACCUGGGAACUGCAUUUGAAACUGGCGAGCUAGAGUCUCGUAGAGGGGGGUAGAAUUCCAGGUGUAGCGGUGAAAUGCGUAGAGAUCUGGAGGAAUACCGGUGGCGAAGGCGGCCCCCUGGACGAAGACUGACGCUCAGGUGCGAAAGCGUGGGGAGCAAACAGGAUUAGAUACCCGCGUAGUCCCUGUCUCUUAUAC
rnacentral:rRNA from 1 species